rnacentral:rRNA from 1 species
AGUGAACGCUGGCGGUAGGCCUAACACAUGCAAGUCGAACGGCAGCACAGUAAGAGCCUGCUCUUACGGGUGGCGAGUGGCGGACGGGUGAGGAAUACAUCGGAAUCUACUUUUUCGUGGGGGAUAACGUAGGGAAACUUACGCUAAUACCGCAUACGACCUACGGGUGAAAGCAGGGGAUCUUCGGACCUUGCGCGAUUGAAUGAGCCGAUGUCGGAUUAGCUAGUUGGCGGGGUAAAGGCCCACCAAGGCGACGAUCCGUAGCUGGUCUGAGAGGAUGAUCAGACACACUGGAACUGAGACACGGUCCAGACUCCUACGGGAGGCAGCAGUGGGGAAUAUUGGACAAUGGGCGCAAGCCUGAUCCAGCCAUACCGCGUGGGUGAAGAAGGCCUUCGGGUUGUAAAGCCCUCUUGUUGGGAAAGAAAAGCAGCAGGUUAAUACCCCGCUGUUCUGACGGUACCCAAAGAAUAAGCACCGGCUAACUUCGUG